rnacentral:lncRNA from 1 species
AGAAAACUAUUCUGCUGGAAAAUUGUUGACCUGCUCUAUUGGCGGCUGAUCAUUCAGCAAUACUGCUGAACGUUGUGCUUUAAAAUAAAUAAAUCAAACAAACCCUAUUCUUCCCAAAUUAGGAGUUUAGUGCUUUUCCUCUUACAUUACAAGCAUAACUUGUCCCUAUUCACCUUCACAUCACUCAUGAUGGCCCAGACCUCUACCUUUUUCCCCUUCAGUCUUGUCCUUUGCAGGUAAAAGCCCUAAACUUAUUUAGCUUUUUCUUCUGCAGAGGCCAGCCCUUACGUCUAACAAUCUCUUUUGCCUUCUCCACACCCUCUGUUGUUCUCCUAUGGUAUUUCUGCAAGGGGCAAUCAGACCUGCAGGCAGGAUUUGAGGUGUGGGGAUUUAGCGCUGGCAUAGCAAUGCUUCUUGUUCUCAGAGCCUUUCUUCACUCUCCCCAUGGCUAUGAGAAUGGUGCCAACACUUGGAGCAGCUGCAAAGGUGCCAGAACAUCUUUCUGUCAAAGAGUACAGCAAAAUUUGACUCUACCUGGGACUGCUCUGGCACCAUGGAGGACAAAUGCGGUUUAUGCAAAACCUUUGAACGCAGUAGCUUCAGGCCCCAUGCAGCCAUCCAGUUAACUUCACUGAGAUAACAGGAAAACUCCCCAGGGAAUUGCCAUAGAAACACCCGAUGGAGACCAGGCGAGAUUAGGGCAGUGGAGCCCGAAGAUACUGUUAAGAUUAAGAGAGAUUUAGCCACAACUCUCCAAGUAUCAUCCUACUGGAAGAGGAACAAAAACAAGACUUAAGAUGGAAAAUGUCCUGCAUGGUUAGAGAUGGAACAGCAGCUGACAAUUCCUCUCUCUGGGGAUACUCAGCACCAUAACGCAGCAGAAAAGCUGGUGCUGCCUCACUAGGGAUCAAGCAGGACCAGUGCAUACUUUGGAAAAGCACUUGGGAAGAGACAUUUUGUCUCUUCUAGAUGCCUCAUUGCAGGCAAACCCUGCAGCAGCAGCACUUUGCCCCCACUAUGGGAAGCCCUUCUCCACAACUAGGGUCCAUUUCUAAUUCAGAAAUUAAUAUCUGUGUUAAUUAGCUCUUCAGUUGCGCAGCAAGUGACUCUUACACAGAGUCCCUAUCACUGGGAUUUUCCCAGAUGUCAGCCUUUGGAAAGGCUUUCUGACAGCUUUCCAGCCUCAGAAAAGCUCUGCUGAAUCUCAAUAUAGUACAUGCGACUCCCGACUGCAAAAGUGUUAAAAACGUACCCAGAUCUUUUUCUGUGCUUGGUGACAUUGAUAACCCUUUAAGCAAAGUAGUGUCCUUCUGCAUAACAGACUGAGAAGGAUGGGAUUAAAUCCAAGAAGGAAAUAUAAUAAGAAGUGAAGGAGCUGCCUACCAUUAGUAGCGAUUUGAGUGUCAGGCAGUCUUUUUUCAGGCAAUUUACCAGUGCUUUUGUCCAAGCUGUU